UACGUAUGGUGCGAGCGUUGUCCGGAUUUACUGGGCGUGAAGGGGGCGCAGGCGGCGCGCCAAGCCCGAUGUGAAAGCCCGGGGCUCAACCCCGGGACUGCAUUGGGAACUGGCGUGCUGGUGUGCCGGAGGGGCAGGCGGAAUUCCUGGUGUAGCGGUGAAAUGCGUAGAUAUCAGGAGGAACACCGGUGGCGAAGGCGGCCUGCUGGACGGAUACUGACGCUGAGGCCCGAAAGCGUGGGGAGCGAACAGG
rnacentral:rRNA from 1 species